UCGGAUUGCAGCUAAUUGGCCAGUUGUCCAGCCAACCAGCUGCCUCCCAUCCACCUGUCUGCAACACUCUCACCUCCACUACCACCUCAGUCAAUACCAGCAUUGCCAACGUCCAAUUUCACUACUCGGUGGAUUGUUCCUGUUGUGUCACCUGCAAGUUUGGCAAGUUGCACUACUAUGCUGCCCACAGCGCCAGCUGCAGCAUUUACCACAACUGUUUCACCUGGCUUUGGGUGCAUCACUUCAAGGAAGGCCAAGCAUUCCCAGUAUACCAAGACCCAGGCUCUUGGGUAGCGUCCCAAGAUCUGGAAGUUGUUGCACACUCUUGUCAGUAUCCCGUAGAUCAGUAUAAGAGAGGUACGUGUGUGUCCUCCAGCCCACAUAAACCAACAUGUGUGAUCCCACAGGCCAUUCUGAGUUCUUGCUUUCUAUAACCCUGUAAUGCAUUACAUGGAAAUGAACUACUGCUAAUUCAAA